rnacentral:lncRNA from 1 species
AUUGGUUCGCGCUCUAAAACGGCGCCGUUUAAGAGCCACUGAAUCAGGCAAUACGGCGACGUUUCUUGAUUCUCCUUAAGUCCCCCUUUAAACCAUAUCAGUUACGCUAAACAGAAAUAAAAGAAACCCUAAAAAACAAUUUCAUUUAAAACAAAAUAAACCUAAACUAAAAGAGCUCUGCGCCGCAUCAGAAAUCAGAGGCCCCUCCCCCCAUCCAUUUGCGCCAUUUCAAACAUGAAACCCCCCAUCCAAACUCCGAUUUAUGCGGAGUAGACCAGGGCUCCGUCAGCACGCUUGUAAAGGUAAGAUUAACUCUUCUUUCUUUCUGGCGCCACAACCUUGAGGGUUCAUCGCCUCUUUUAGAGGCUCUCCGAACCAUGCCCCUAACUCCGAUGACAACGAAGAAAGGGCAAUCGGUCCAG